UUAUUUUCUAUUUUGAAGAGCGCUUUAUUAUAAGCAUUUUUUUUUCUAUUUAUUUUUUAAGAUUCUCAAUUUUAAAAAAAAUAAGCUCAAAGACCUCUAUGAAUGUUCAUUUUAAAAUAUCAGAUGCCACACAAAAUACAAUGCAAACUUUAGUGUGUUAUUAAUGCAUUACUUUAAUUAUUUAUGUAUUUUCAACAUUGUGAAUGAGGUUUAAACUUGAUUACAUUUGUAACUAACGGUAGCCUGUAGUAUGUAUAGAAAUCAUAUAUAAAUGCAAUUAUACAAGUAGAUUAUAUUUCAAUGCCUGGGUAUAUUGUAUAAACAAUAAUAUUUACAUAUUACAAACUUCAAAUUUAUAUUGAAUUAUGCAUAAAUAAUCAAAAGAGCUCUGUCUUUUUUAAUUAACAUUAAAAGGAGGCUAGGCCACCCAUAAUGACUCAAUAUGUAAUCCACCGAGAUUGAAAGUACUUUUUUUUGUUUUGUUCAUUUUUUUCCAGCAUGAAUUGAACACCAAUUUAUUAUUGUAUGAGAUUUUAGUUUACUCCUGCCAGAAAGCAUGCUUAGAAUGGCAUUUCAUUAAUAAAUCUUAAAAUGUCCAGAGGCAAAAAAGGGAGAGCAUGUGAUUAAAGUAACAAAGUCUCAAAUAUUGGAUACAGCAGAAAACCCCCCCCCCCCCC